rnacentral:rRNA from 1 species
UACGUAGGGUGCGAGCGUUAAUCGGAAUUACUGGGCGUAAAGCGUGCGCAGGCGGUUCGCCAAGUCAGGUGUGAAAUCCCCGGGCUUAACCUGGGAAUUGCGCUUGAAACUAGCGGGCUUGAGUGUGGCAGAGGGGGGGUGGGAAUUCCACGUGUAGCAGUGAAAUGCGUAGAGAUGUGGAGGAACACCGAUGGCGAAGGCAGCCCCCUGGGUCAACACUGACGCUCAUGCACGAAAGCGUGGGGAGCAAACAGG